rnacentral:rRNA from 1 species
UACGUAGGGUGCAAGCGUUAAUCGGAAUUACUGGGCGUAAAGCGUGCGCAGGCGGUUCGCUAAGACCGACGUGAAAUCCCCGGGCUUAACCUGGGAACUGCAUUGGUGACUGGCGGGCUAGAGUAUGGCAGAGGGGGGUAGAAUUCCACGUGUAGCAGUGAAAUGCGUAGAGAUGUGGAGGAAUACCGAUGGCGAAGGCAGCCCCCUGGGCCAAUACUGACGCUCAUGCACGAAAGCGUGGGGAGCAAACAGG